rnacentral:rRNA from 1 species
UGUGACAUACCUAUACGUUGCCUCGGCGGAUCAGCCCGCGCCCCGUAAAAAGGGACGGCCCGCCCGAGGACCCCUAAACUCUGUUUUUAGUGGAACUUCUGAGUAAAACAAACAAAUAAAUCAAAACUUUCAACAACGGAUCUCUUGGUUCUGGCAUCGAUGAAGAACGCAGCAAAAUGCGAUAAGUAAUGUGAAUUGCAGAAUUCAGUGAAUCAUCGAAUCUUUGAACGCACAUUGCGCCCGCCAGUAUUCUGGCGGGCAUGCCUGUUCGAGCGUCAUUUCAACCCUCAAGCUCAGCUUGGUGUUGGGACUCGCGGUAACCCGCGUUCCCCAAAUCGAUUGGCGGUCACGUCGAGCUUCCAUAGCGUAGUAAUCAUACACCUCGUUACUGGUAAUCGUCGCGGCCACGCCGUAAAACCCCAACUUCUGAAUGUUGACCUCGGAUCAGGUAGGAAUACCCGCUGAACUUAAGCAUAUCAAUA